UUUGAUAUAAUAAAUAUAAUAAUUUAGUUAGUUAUUUAAUUUAAAAUAUAUAGUUAUGCAAAAUUUUGUAUUAAAUUUGUGUUUUAGUAAAAUUUAUGAAUUAAUAAUUUUAUUUAUAGAUAGAAGUAAUGUGAAUGAAUUUUAUAAAAAUUGAAAAAGUAAAAUAUAUUUUGUACCUUUUGUAUCAGGGUUAAUUAAUAUAAUUUAAUAAAAUUAAUAUUCUCGAAAGAAAAAGAGUUAAAUAUAUAAUUAUAUUAUUGUGGAAGAAAUAAUUAUAAUAUAUAUUUAGAGAUUAGAUGUUAAUCGAUUUUUUUUAUAUCUAGUUUUUUUUGAAAUAAAUUUAAUUUAUAUAUAAAAAGUAUAUAAAAUUUAUUUUGAAAUUUUAUAUAUUUUUAUAUAAAAAAUUUAUGGGAUAAUCUAUAAAUUUAAAUAUAUUAUUUAUUGAGAAAAUUAAUAAUUUAAUUGAUUUAGAAAUAAUCUUUUUUAAUAAGUAUUUAAUAAUUUAAUGUAUUUUAUGUUAAAGAUUUUAUGUAUAUAUGAUAUUAAUAUAUAUAUAUAUAUAUAUAUUUGUUAAAAAAAAAUAAUUUUUAAUAAGUGUAAAUUAAAUAUAAUGAUUAUAUAAGUAAUAAAGAAUUUUAUGAUUUAAAAUUGUUUUGUAUAUAGUAUAAUUUGAUAUAAAUAUAUAUAUAUAAGGAAUUAGGCAAAUUAAAUAUAUUCACCUGUUUAUCAAAAACAUGGCUUAAUGAUGAUAAUUUUAGGUCGAUCUGCCCAAUGAGAUAGUUAAAUGGCUGCAGUAUAACUGACUGUACAAAGGUAGCAUAAUCAAUUGUUUUUUAAUUGGAAACUGGAAUGAAAGAAUUAAUGAGAUAUAUACUGUCUCAUAUAUAUUUAAUAAAAUUAAAUUUUUAGUAAAAAUGCUAAAAUUAAUUUAUGGGACGAUAAGACCCUAUAGAAUUUUAUAUUAAUAUUUAGAUUUAAUUUAAUUUUAGGUAUUAAUAUUUAAUUGGGAGGAUUGGUAAAUUUAAUAAACUUUAUUUUAAAAUUUAACUUUGAUUAAAGGAAUUAUAAAUGAUCUUGUAUUAUAAAUUAUAAGAAUAAAUUACCUUAGGGAUAACAGCGUAAUAUCUUUUUAAAGAUCGUAUUGAUAAAGAUGAUUGCGACCUCGAUGUUGAAUUAAGAUAAAUUUUAAAUGUAGAAGUUUAAUGAUUAAGUCUGUUCGACUUUUAAAAUCUUACAUGAUUUGAGUUCAAAUCGACGUGAGUCAGAUUGGUUUCUAUCUAUGAAAUUAAAAUAAAUUAUUUGUACGAAAGGACUAUAAUUUAUAAUUAUAUUAUGUAAAAUUAUAAUAAAUAAAUUAUAAAAAA
rnacentral:rRNA from 1 species